rnacentral:rRNA from 1 species
ACAGCUAAUACAUGAGCAAAAUCUCAACUUUAUUAGAAGAGACGCAUUUAUUAGAUAAAAAGCCAGUUCAUGCUUUUACAGUAUGAAAAUUGGUGAUUUAUAAUAACUUAGCAAAUCGCAAAGUGAAAACAGGCGAUAAAUCAUUCAAGUUUCUGACCUAUCAGCUUUCGACGGUAUGGUAUUGGCUUACCGUGGCAGUGACGGUUAACGGGGGAUUAGGGUUCGAUUCCGGAGAGGGAGCCUGAGAAACGGCUACCACAUCUAAGGAAGGCAGCAGGCGCGCAAAUUACCCAAUUCUAACAGUUUGAGAGAGGUAGUAACAAGAAAUAACAAUACAAGGCAGUUAAAAUGCUUUGUAAUUGGAAUGAUAGAAAUUUAAACCCUUUUUAAAGUAUCAAUUGGAGGGCAAGUCUGGUGCCAGCAGCCGCGGUAAUUCCAGCUCCAAUAGCGUAUAUUAAAAUUGUUGCAGUUAAAAAGCUCGUAGUUGAAGUUCUGCUGAAAGU